rnacentral:other from 1 species
AGGGCGGUCAAUAGCGCGGGCCUGGCGGAGCGCGGCAACGCGCGGAGAUCGCGAGGCGACCGGGGCCAGCUGGGCCCCCGGCGGCGCGCCCCUCGGCCCAGCCGGGAGCCGCGCCAGUCGGAGCCCCUGGCCGAGGGCGGCCAGCCAGCUUCUCAGCGCCCAUCCCUCCGGAGAGCAGCCGGGGGGCAUGACCGACCCACCAGGGGCGCCGCCGCCGGCGCUCGCAGGCCGCGGGUGAAGAAGAAAGUCCGUACCCGCUCGGCCCGGAGCGAGGAGGCGCCACGAGACGAGGAGGCGCCCCAGAUCGAGGAGGCGCCCCCGGCCGAGGAGGUGACCCCAGACGUGAUCCAGGCGGAGGAGGUGACCGAGACCGAGGAAAUG